GAUGAACGCUAGCGGCAGGCCUAAUACAUGCAAGUCGAACGGUAACAUGAGAGCUUGCUCUUGAUGACGAGUGGCGCACGGGUGCGUAACGCGUACAUAACCUACCCUGAAGAGAGGGAUAGCCCUGGGAAACUGGGAGUAAUACCUCAUAGUGUUGCGAGAUCGCAUGAUUUUGCAACUAAAUGUUGAGGCGCUUUGGGAUGGAUGUGCGUGCCAUUAGAUAGUUGGUAAGGUAACGGCUUACCAAGUCAGCGAUGGCUAGGGGGCGUGAGAGCGUGGCCCCCCACACGGGUACUGAGACACGGACCCGACUCCUACGGGAGGCAGCAGUAAGGAAUAUUGGUCAAUGGGGGCAACCCUGAACCAGCCAUGCCGCGUGCAGGAUGACUGCCCUAUGGGUUGUAAACUGCUUUUAUACAGGAAGAACGGCGGAGAUUUAUUUCCGUGUGACGGUACUGUACGAAUAAGGACCGGCUAACUCCG
rnacentral:rRNA from 1 species